AUAAUUAAAAUUUUAUUAUGGGAUUAAAACUUUUUUCAUUGAUGUUAAUAUUUAUUUUUUUAAUAUUGUAAUAGAAUAAAAGAAUCAAUUAUCAACUGGAAACUCAGAGUCUAACUCCAUCUUCAUUAUCCCGACAAGAAUGUUAUCUCAAGAAAACUACUUUGGCUGCAAAGUCAGCUUGUGCCAACUCGAGUUUUGCAGCUACAAAGUUUGAAAUUAAGGGGGAAUCAAGAAAGAGACCGCGCGAAGUAUUUGAAAGUGCAAGAAUUGAAAAAGAAAUAGAGGAAAGGGAAAAAAGAGAAGGAGAGAAGUUACAAAGACAAAAAGAAAGACAGGAAAAAGAAGAAAAAGAAAAAAAAGCGAAUUUGCAACGAUUAAUUAGAGAAAGAGAAGCUCACUUAGCUAUGAUUGAAAAGGUUAAGCAAGAAGUUGAUCAUUCUGAUCAAAACCAUAAGUAUUUCUUGGAACUUGAAAAACUAUGCGGCUACAAACAAUCAUGCAGAUAUAAUAAAAGAAAUUCUGAAAUGCACACUUAUUCUUCUUCUAAUAUAUUAUUUGGGACGCCAUUGAAAAAGUUGGGAUUAUUUUUGAAAAAUGACGAGGAGAAAGAAUUUGAAGAAGAAGAGGAAAACUUGAAUCUACAAAAUUAAAGAAGUUGAAACAAGCUUAGUUUAUAUUGUUUGUAACUAAAUAUUCUAUUAUAAAAUUUAAUAAUGACAAGAUUGAUUACAUUUUUUACAUUUAGAGAUGUUAUGACAAGAUUGUUCGUGCUAGAAAUUGUCUUUUAAGUUAGUUAUAUAUAUAUAUAUAUAAAACUGUCGAAAAUUGAGCCUAGUGUACUGUUUUGUAUCACUUUAGAACACAUGGUCCAAUUUAUCAUUUAACAAAACAGAGAGUUGGAUCGAUAAUUUUUAUAAAACACAAAAGUUAAAAUAAUAUUAACACUAUAUAUAUUUAUAUAAAUUCUUAUAUAUGUAAUUCUUUUAAAUUCUUAUAUACUACGCGUGGUGUUACAAAGACAAAAAGAAAGACAGGAAAAAGAAGAAAGAGAAAAAAUAGCGAAUUUACAACGAUUAAUUAGAGAAAGAGAAGCUCACUUACCUAUGAUUGAAAAUGUUAAUAUUUGCUUGCAUAUUUUU